UAUAUGAUCGAAUUUUUUUUCUCUCUUUUUUUUCUUAAGACAUUUUAUAAAACAAAUAUUAAUGACAAUUUAGGUUGGUCCACAACAACAGAAUUAGAUUAUAGGGAUACAUGUUUGGGACACUUUUGUAUAAGUGUCACAUUUAUAUCAAAACUUUUAAAAAAAUCUACUAAUGCCCAAAAAUAAAACCGAAUCCAACAAAAGAUAAAAUGUUACUCUACUUAACCCAUCCACCCAGCCCAUUUGGCCCGAUUACAAACAGAAAAGAAAAAAGAAAAAAAAAAAUCGAUUACCAUCUUCUUUUCUUCCCUUCUCCCCUUACUCAAUUCACUGAAAUCCUAGACAAAGAGCUCUUCCCUCUCGUCUUCCUUCGCUACCGCAGCCAACGAGAUAGAGUUUCGGCGGUUGUUAAAUGCUUAAAUAAGUGUUGCUAAAUUAGCAGCACUCUUUUUAGGUUAUAGCGACACUCUUUAACUGUCACUAUAUACCUAGUGACCCCACAUAUAUAGCAACACUUUUUAAUAGUGUCGAUAAUUUAGCUAACAGCACUUUUUUUGAUCUGUACCAAUAUUUAAAAGUGUCGCUAUAAACCGGUUUUGUUGUAGUGAAUCUUUAUUCAUGAGGUCCAAAGCAUUUCGAAGGAACUAUUAAUUGCAUGCAAUAGAGAUUAUAUACACAAAGAAUUGUAUCGGACCAAAUCCGAUUAUGUCACGUAAGCAUCUGGAGGAAGGAAGAGUUAAGGUUAAUGACCCACAACAGAACCUUUAUUCAUUAGAAUCCAAAAGCACUUCCAAGAAAAUAUUGCAUGUAACGGAAAUUAAUCUUACAUAGAUGUAUCAGAUCAAUCCAAUUAUGCCAUGCAUGUAAUUAGCAUGUGAAGGCAGAAUUAAUGGUAUUGCAAUAACUCUNAUUUUAGUUGACUAGCUAAUUUUAACUUAAUUUGUUGGUGAUUGGGCUUGUAAUUAUAGAUAAUAAUACUUAGGGUGGCAAUCUAGCUUGCUGUUCGCGAGCCAGCUCGUGUUCGGCUCGAAAUGAGCUCGAGAUCGAAUCGCUCGUUUAGUAAACGAGCUGAACACAACCUGAAUUUUUCAACUCGUUUAACAAAUGAGCCGAACACGAGCCGGCCCCAGCUCGCUCCUCUUCGGCUCGUUGACACCCCUAAUAAUACCUAUAAUAGGUUCAUUGUGUGUUUCUAAUUUUUAUUAUCAUUUGCAUGCACAAUUUGUUGCUUUCAAUUUUCACUUCACUUUAAGUUGAGGAUAUUGUGUACUUUUCCUAGUCAUUGCAUAGUACGAAGUUUAGAGUUUCAAAAUUUGCUAGUCCAAAAAGUGAAAAGUUAUUCAACUUCACGAAAAUAUUUUUCUUGUGAAAGUUAAUUGCCAAAUGAAUAUAUGUAACCCUUCCAUGGUUGGUGCAUAAAAUGAUAAAAUAAAAUAUAUAUAUAUAUAUGAUCGAAUUUUUUUUCUCUCUUUUUUUUCUUAAGACAUUUUAUAAAACAAAUAUUAAUGACAAUUUAGGUUGGUCCACAACAACAGAAUUAGAUUAUAGGGACACAUAUUUGGGACACUUUUGUAUAAAUGUUCCAUUUAUACCAAAACUUUUAAAAAAAUCUACUAAGGCCUGAAUAUAAAACCCAAUCCAACCAAAAAUAAAAUAUUACUCUACUCAACCCACCUCACCCAAUUCAUUCGGCCCGAUUACAAACAAAAAAGAAAAAAGAAAAAAAAAAUCAAUCACCAUCUCCCCUUCUCCCCUCACUCAAUUCACUGAAACCCUAGACGAAGAGCUCUUCGCUCUUCUCCUCCUCCGCUACCGCAAUUAACGAGGUAAUAUUCCGGCGGUUACAAAAUACUUAAAUAAGUGUUGGUAAAUUAGCAGCACUCUUUUUAGAUUAUAGCGACAUUCUUAAACUGUCACUAUAUACCUAGCGACCCCAUAUAUAGCAACAUUUUUUAAAAGUGUCGGUAAUUUAGCCAGCUAUAUUUUUUCUGAUAUGUACCAAUAUUUAAAAGUAUCGCUAUACACCGUUUUUGUUGUAGUGGUCUCUAAUACUCUUAUCUAGAUACUACUCCAUGCCUUGUUAUUAAUUCUCU
rnacentral:lncRNA from 1 species